rnacentral:rRNA from 1 species
GUCCACGCCCUAAACGAUGUUUACUUGCUGUUUGUAUUUCGGGAUGAGUGGCGAAGCGAAAGCGCUAAGUAAACCACCUGGGGAGUACGCCCGCAAGGGUGAAACUCAAAGGAAUUGACGGGGUCCGCACAAGCGGUGGAGCAUGUGGUUUAAUUCGAUGAUACGCGAGGAACCUUACCCGGGUUAGAAUGUGACUGAAUACUUCUGAAAGGAGGUAGGCUCGCAAGAGACAGGAAACAAGGUGCUGCAUGGCUGUCGU